CCCGCCUUGACAUAAGGAGAGGAACUCAGUCCUGCCUCACCUUGAUGUGCUAAGCUUGGUUCUUAACCAUAGGUAUUUGAGUUGGCUGGACUUGGGUUUGUGUGCCCUAACAUAUAACAGAAGGACACCGUACCAAACACCUCCAAGCUGGGCCUGCAGGCAGGUGAAGGAUGCAGAGUUGCAAGACAACACCGACUGCCAUGAAGGAUGGAGACACAGGAAGUCUCACCUGUACAUGUGUGCUCCUCUUUCCCACCAGGGAGGUUGCUACAGUUCUGAAAUGAGAAAAAUCAAGUUCCAGCAUUGGUGAAUAAGGCUGAUGAACAGCUCUCUGCAGCAGCGCGAUGUCCUUCCUGCAAAAGGCCCC